GUGUGUGGCCACACUGCCCUGAAUGUGCCCCAUCUGGUCUGAUCUCAGCAUCUAAGCAGGGCCUGGCCGGCUUAGUGCUUGUAGGGGAGACUAGCAUAGGCAGCAAAUGGGUGCCACCAUCU
rnacentral:rRNA from 1 species